GAUGAACGCUAGCUACAGGCUUAACACAUGCAAGUCGAGGGGAAACGAUAGAGAAAGCUUGCUUUUUCUAGGCGUCGACCGGCGCACGGGUGAGUAACGCGUAUCCAACCUGCCCAUCACUUGGGGAUAACCUUGCGAAAGUAAGACUAAUACCCAAUGAUAUCUCUAGAAGACAUCUGAAAGAGAUUAAAGAUUUAUCGGUGAUGGAUGGGGAUGCGUCUGAUUAGCUUGUUGGCGGGGUAACGGCCCACCAAGGCGACGAUCAGUAGGGGUUCUGAGAGGAAGGUCCCCCACAUUGGAACUGAGACACGGUCCAAACUCCUACGGGAGGCAGCAGUGAGGAAUAUUGGUCAAUGGACGAGAGUCUGAACCAGCCAAGUAGCGUGCAGG
rnacentral:rRNA from 1 species